rnacentral:lncRNA from 1 species
CAGGCAGAGAGCCCAUGUUGGAAACAAGCAGCUCUGCAAGGUGUGGGCCCACUGUCUGACUCCCUGCGGGGCUGCUGCCUUGGAAGAGCCUCCUGCUUAGAGAGGUUCUCCUGCCGCCAGCUGUCUCUCCUGAGUCCUGAGCACCACAUCUCUGGACCGUCUGGAGCCUCCCCUCCCUUGGCUUACUGCUCCCACCACCCUCUCUCUCCACCUUGCAAGAGACACUCUCCCUCAUCCUGGGUCAUCACCCUCUUUAGAGGCGCCGCCUGGCCACGAGGUUGGAUAUGGGGGGUGGGCAGGAUCUUGGCCUUACUUGAUGCAGUGCACACCUCCAACAGGCAUCAGAUGGAGUGCAGCCGGGAGCAAGAUUCUCAUAGCAAUUACAAAGAUUCACAAGAAAAUGUGCCCUCCACUACACAGCUGUAAUUUACAUGCUUUCAAACUUGAUAUGGAAUGACUGUGGUUUCCCCUGAAAGAAGCAUCACUGAUCUCUGCACAGGAGAAACAAGGGUGUGUUAGGAGUUACAUCCACUAACCUCUGGGGCUAGAAUGUUCCUCCUAAUCCCGGAUUACCAGCUUACAACCCCAAUGCCCACUUUCUCAAACAAGCCUCGUCUUUUUAAAGACAGGAUCUUGCUCUGUCACCUAGGCUGGAGUGCAAUGGCACACUCACGGCUCACUGCAGCGUCAAACUCCCAGGCUCAAGUGUUCCUCCUACCUCAGCCUCCUGAGUAGCUAGGACCACAGCACAGGCCCAGACACAAAGCAGAUGUGCAGUGGAGUGUGAAAGAGGCAGCCAACUCACUGGGGAGCUUCAGAGGGAGAUGGCCCAAAUUGCUGGGGCCUAAGAAUCUCCCGGAAUGAAGGAACAGUAGAAAGAACUGGAAGCCAAAUAUGGUGAUAGAGACUCUCAUCAAGGACACUGAGUAAACCAGAAACCUGCUUGGGCUCACGUUCCUUGUCUCUUCUUCUCAGAUCCAGGAAAGGAGCUGUCCAGGACAAUGAGGAUAGGCUGAGGAAAGACAGGCCACGGCCUUGCCUCUGUGCCAGCUCUCAUGGGCCAGGCAGAGUAUCCCAGGACAACUGCCUCCACAACCAGCUCCAUCCUUCAUCAGCAAUUCAGUACCUGAUUAACAAAUCUGUACCCCAGGAGGUUAUGCCAAGUCCAACUUCUUCCAGAGACCACAACAAUAAAUCCAAGCCACUGCUAAUGUCAUUUAUAAGCUGUGGGAUUAAAACAGAGAAGCAAUCAAUUAAUUAAAAUUAGCUCUUUAUUGAAACU